UUUCAGCAGGAACAGGACUGGCAGGGGAAGGGUUCAGCAACCCACUUCCAAUGAAAAUUACUCCACUCCAGAAAGCCCCUUUUAAGGGGAGUUUAAUCCCUUAAAGGCUUCCAGUUCCUCAGAUAUCAUCCUGGCAGAGAGUGCCGUAACUUGUUGUAACUGCGCUUUGGGAAAACGCCCCUUUCUAGACAGUGGUGCAAGAUUGUUGUGAUGAUAACACUGGGAAGAUCUGAACCAUGCACAUCACCUUCGGCAUUGUGGAUGAAAG